AUGUUCUCUACAUCUCUACUGCUCCUGCUGGCAGCUGCUUCUUAUGUGCAUGGUGAGGAACUGACUCAGCCUGCGUCCAUGACAGUCCAGCCAGGCCAGAGUCUCUCCAUCCAGUGCAAGGUUUCAUAUUCAGUUACGAGCUAUUAUACAGCUUGGAUUCGACAACCUGCAGGAAAAACUCUGGAGUGGAUUGGAUUCAUCAGACCUGGUGGGAGUACAGCUUACAGUGAGAAACUGAAAAAUAAGUUCAGCAUCUCCAGAGACACUUCUACUAACACAAUAACAAUUGGAGGACAGAACAUGCAGACUGAAGACACAGCUGUGUAUUACUGCGCUCGUUACACACAGUGA